UGCAAGCGUUAAUCGGAAUUACUGGGCGUAAAGCGCGCGUAGGUGGCUUGAUAAGCCGGUUGUGAAGCCCCGGGCUCAACCUGGGAAGGCAUCCGGAACUGUCAAGCUAGAGUGCAGGAGAGGAAGGUAGAAUUCCCGGUGUAGCGGUGAAAUGCGUAGAGAUCGGGAGGAAUACCAGUGGCGAAGGCGGCCUUCUGGACUGACACUGACACUGAGGUGCGAAAGCGUGGGUAGCAAACAGGAUUAGAUACCCUGGUAGUCCACGCCGUAAACGAUGUCGACCAGCCGUUGGGUGCCUAGCGCACUUUGUGGCGAAGUUAACGCGAUAAGUCGACCGCCUGGGGAGUACGGCCGCAAGGUUAAAACUCAAAUGAAUUGACGGGGGCCCGCACAAGCGGUGGAGCAUGUGGUUUAAUUCGAUGCAACGCGAAGAACCUUACCUACUCUUGACAUCCUGCGAAUUCGGUAGAGAUACCUUAGUGCCUUCGGGAACGCAGAGACAGGUGCUGCAUGGCUGUCGUCAGCUCGUGUUGUGAAAUGUUGGGUUAAGUCCCGUAACGAGCGCAACCCUUGUCCUUAUUUGCCAGCGCGUAAUGGCGGGAACUCUAAGGAGACUGCCGGUGACAAACCGGAGGAAGGUGGGGACGACGUCAAGUCAUCAUGGCCCUUACGAGUAGGGCUACACACGUGCUACAAUGGUCGGUACAAAGGGUUGCCAACUCGCGAGAGUGAGCCAAUCCCGAAAAGCCGAUCUCAGUCCGGAUCGGAGUCUGCAACUCGACUCCGUGAAGUCGGAAUCGCUAGUAAUCGUGGAUCAGAAUGCCACGGUGAAUACGUUCCCGGGCCUUGUACACACCGCCCGUCACACCAUGGGAGUGGACUGCACC
rnacentral:rRNA from 1 species